rnacentral:lncRNA from 1 species
AAUUUUUUUCAAAAUAUUAGUUUAUAUAUUUUAUGAUUAAAUAUAUGUCACCCUCAUGUAAUGUUAAUGAGUUUGUGAAUACCCCUUAAUUUGUUUUUUGAUCUCCCUCUUAUAACAUCACGAUUCUCUCUGUCUGGCCCUUGAGUUGACUAUUUCAACCCAAAAUCUUAUUUGAAGUCUAUGUGGUAUGAUUUCUUUAAUCUACAAGGAUUUGUUAAACAUUUAUCCUUGUUGUGUCUUUUUUUUUACCUUUUUAUUUGUCCUCCUUGAAAAUUAGGGUUUAUUAA